rnacentral:lncRNA from 1 species
UACUGCUUUGGGCCUUUCCUUCUUCUUUUGUUCCCCUCUUUACUGUUCGUUGUGUGCUCGACUUUUUUAUGCUAGAAACUUCUCGCUGUGUAAGUACUUGUUUUAUGCCUACUUCAUUCGACUGAUAUCUAGAAUCACGUGGUGGGGUCACGCAUGUCACGAGUUCAUCCAGAAAAACCUUGACGAACAAAUAUUUAUGCUUGUGAUAUGGAUGAGUUUUACAUACAAAAACUGGCGAUGUCAAUUUUUCCGCUCCUUUUUUCACGGCUUUGGAGAGAUACGUAUCAAACCUAAGUUGUCUGUAUUCUUCUUCAAUGACUGCAUAAGAUUGAACACCAUGUAGAAAAAAUGAUCAAAUAUGCUUGUGUUAGUACCCAAAUUUAUUUUCCCCCGAAAGGUGUGUUAAGCUAGUCCAUUUACUCUAAGUGGUUGCCCACAAAAUUGAAGAAUUUCAAGCAAAGUGGACAGACAUGAUGCCACUUCUUUUGAAGAAGAUUAAAGACGCUAAAGCAGCAGAUCGACCAAUGCGCCCUUUUACCUCCAAGAGAUCUCUUUACUUUUCCUUGUAAUUUCAUUUCGAUGUAAUUUCAAUUUCAACUCUUUCAUUUGAUUGUAAUUAAUUGCAAUUCCAAUACAUUCGUGGAGUCUCAUCAGUCCAUCUAAAGCCACAUUCAUGCACUUUUUUGCUUGAGUGCGAAAUUGAGGAGCAUUUUUUUAUCGCUUUCCAAUUGUUUGAACCAGCUUUGAAGUCACCGAGUUUCAGGAAGUCACUUAACAUUUUAGCC